rnacentral:rRNA from 1 species
UACGGAGGGUGCGAGCGUUGUCCGGAAUCACUGGGCGUAAAGGGCGCGUAGGCGGCGCGGAUAGUCGGCGGUGAAAGCCCGGAGCUCAACUCCGGGUCGGCCGUCGAUACUUCCGGGCUUGAGCACUGUAGAGGCAGAUGGAAUUCCGGGUGUAGCGGUGGAAUGCGUAGAGAUCCGGAAGAACACCGGUGGCGAAGGCGGUCUGCUGGGCAGUUGCUGCGCUGAUGCGCGACAGCGUGGGGAGCAAACGAGGAUUAGAAACCC